CCAAUAUUAACAAUUAACAACUAUACUAAAACCGAUUACACACUUUUCUUAAAUUAAUUAAAAACAUAACGAAGGCAGUCGACAUUUUACCACGCUUGCGGCAACUUACAUUUAUUGAUCUGAUAACUUAACUCGGACAGUAUUAUUGUGGGUACUAAAUUAAAUACUAUUAUUUUUAUUAUUAUUAUUAUUAUUUCGAGUUGUGUAUACUCGCCGCCGUCUCUCACCUAACUUGGAUACCACCAACAUCUCUAGAGAUCCAGUCAGUAAUACCGACAUAAGAUGAAGUGAUUGCCACGCCAGAAUUUUUCGCUUGGCAAGGAGACGACGCACUGCCUAGUGGCGAAGAAGCAUUCGCGCAAGCUGCCAAGUUUGCUCAAGUAGCCGCUACAGGAGAUCUGGGUGCUACACUUUACUACUAGAGUGACCACUUUUGAAAUUUAUUGAAUAUAGGAACAUCUGGUGCAGAUGAUGAAUUAAAUUAAAUUUGAUUUCAAAAACACUUUUUAAUACAAUUCCAAAAAUGUGAUAUCUACAUGGUAAAUACAAAAUAUCACACCCCAUGUUGCAAAAUUUGCUACAAUAAUAUGCAGUUAAACCCCAUUUUUCAAUUGCUGCAAAGACAAGCUGCUGCUUGACAUUUCCCGAACCAGAAGAAAUUUCAGGCACAUCGAGUAGUUGUUCUACAUUAUUAUAUGACACAAUUAUUGGUAACCCUUCAACUAGUUGUAUUCCUGAUAAUGAAGGAAGAAGUUUUCCAUACCAAUGAAUGAUGCACGGACUUAAGAAAUAUCAAAAUUACUGUAUAUAUUUUUCAUUCUAUUUUUACGAAAAUGUUUUCGAAAAUUAUUAAUUGAGGUCUUAUUUAUAAUUAGUUCAGAUGUAUUGAGAUCAAAUGAUUCUGCAGUUGCUAUUAAUAUAUGAACAGCGUCUCUGUCGCUAAUUUUGCACUUAUCAAAUGCAGCGGCCAGUUUAUCAGUUAAAAUAUUCUUUUUACCUCUAAGAUGGGGAGUACUAGUUUUUUUAAUUAAGACAUUUUUAUAAUUGCCUAACAUUUUCAUUUCAUCAUAUGCUUUUCUUUUUCUUUGGACUAUAUCUAUAUUUUUCAUAUGUUGAUUUAUUUCAUAUUUUUCAUUGAAAUUAUCGACACCUAACAUAUAACCUGCCCACCCCUUUUCCUUUUGAGCCAAUAAAAAUUGUUCAUGAACUUCCAUUUUAAUUAAGUUUAAAGCAUCAGAAUGAGCAAUAUCAAAUAAGUCAUCAAGUUUAUUAACAAAUUCCUCUUUAUUUUUUGUAUCUAAUGAUGACUUUCUAGUCGCAUGUUUUUGUAGUUUUCUCCAUUCAUUGUACAAUGAUUUAAUUUUUUGUACGGAGUGACAUUUUUUUUUAAUAGGUAUUCUAGCUUUUUGCCAGAAUAUUUCAAUUUCAUUGUAAACUAAAGUGGCACUAUAGUGAAUAUUUAAAUGAACCACACGUAUGAUAUAAAAAAUAACACACAGUCCUUGUUUAUUUCAUGGUAACUCAAUACCGAUGAUUGGAUUUGACAUGUACCCUAAAUAAAUUUUAUUUGUAUCCCAAAGAUCCAUUUUAGAUGUAGAAGCCGUUUUAUAAAACAAUAAUUAAAAUCUCAACUUUUAAGUUGUAUAAGCAGAAACUAUAGUUAUAAAUAUAAAAAAAUACUUGAACAUAAUAUUCAUAAACAAUUAACGACAGGUUGUAAAAUUAGAAUCUUCUUUUGGAGUAUAACACAUAAAAACAUGUAAUAAAGCGUUUAAAAAUAACAAACAAUAACUUUAUCUUGUGAAUGACUUUUUU